rnacentral:miRNA from 3 species
UUUGCUACGGCCACCAAGAUCU